rnacentral:rRNA from 1 species
UUAAACUGAAGAGUUUGAUCAUGGCUCAGAUUGAACGCUGGCGGCAGGCCUAACACAUGCAAGUCGAGCGGUAACAGAACUAGCUUGCUAGUUGCUGACAAGCGGCGGACGGGUGCGUAACACGUAGGAAUCUACCCAGUAGCGGGGGAUAGCCCGGAGAAAUCCGGAUUAA